CUAAGACCCCGGAUGAAGCUGCCAUUGGGGCAAGUGAGCAGGGCCACUGAGGCUGGUCGGAUUUUAGUGUAACGGUGAAGGGGGGUCGAAGCGGAUAAACGUCUCUCUGGGUUCAUGUGGACGGGACAGCGUGGAGUUGCAGCAGCGCUACGACCAUAAACAAACUGUCCGCUGCCCGAGCAGAGUCACCGGCCAACGGCGGUUGCUAACUGUACUUAACUGUUAGCAAAGUAGCGCGGAGCAGCUUCUCCGGCUAUUAGCCGCACACACGGCGGACACUCUGAACGUCUUGCCAGGCUUCAACCACAACACCAGGUGGAUGAAUGAUGUCUGCGGCCAGUAUCGACCCUCAGACAUCGAAAGGACAAGAUGCAAGUAAAGCCUUUCCAGUUUCAGUGCAGAAUGGCUCCCUCCACCAGAAGGACACAGUCCAUGACAAUGACUUUGAGCCCUAUCUCACCGGCCAGUCCAACCAGAAUAACAGUUAUCAGUCCAUGACGGACCCAUACCUAUCCAGCUACUAUGCCCCCUCCAUUGGAUUUCCCUACCCUCUCAGUGAAGCUCCUUGGUCAACAGGAGGUGAUCCACCAAUUCCCUACCUGACACCCUAUGCCCCCCUCAGCAAUGGAGACCAUCACUUCAUGCACGACACAGUGUUUGGGCAGCCAGGAGGGCUCAGCAGCAGCAUCUAUCCUCACAGGUUUAAUUUUUUCCCAGAGAAUCCGGCCUUCUCUGCAUGGGGCACCAGUGGUUCUCAGGGCCAACAGACUCAGAGCUCAGCCUAUGGAGGGAGUUACAGUUACCCUCCUAGCUCUCUAGGGGGCACCUUAGUCCCAGAUGGCCAGACAGGUUUCCAUAGUGACACCUUGAGCAAGGCUCCAGGUAUGAACAGCCUAGAGCAGGGCAUGCUGGGCCUAAAGAUAGGUGGGGAUGUGACAGGAAGUGGCUCGGGUGUGAAAGGUGCAGGCUCUGUGAUUGGUGGAGGUGGCAGCGUAGCUGCAGCUGUUGCUGCUGGCAAUGGUGGGACGCCAAUCGGAAUGCCCCCUCCAAAACCUACAUCGUGGGCUGCUAUUGCGAGUAAACCUGCCAAGCUGCAGCAGCAAAAGACCAAGAACAAACCCGGCACACCUAUACCUGGAGGAAGUCUGCCUCCACCCACCAUUAAACACAACAUGGACAUUGAUUCAUGGGAUAAUAAAGGGACUGCUCCCAAGAUAGCCCCUCCUUUGCCACAUCACCACCACCAUCACCACCACCAUCAACAGCACCAGCCACAGCUUCACUCCCAUGCUCCCAGUCUCCUCCCUCCCCUUCAACAAUCCAUACAGUCUGCCCAGUCCCUGGUGCAGCAGAUGACCAUGCAGGGUCCUCCACCCCCUCCACAGCCUUAUCACAACCACAACUCUGCUCCAACACCUCAGACCCGAUGGGUUGCCCCACGCAACCGCAACUUGUGCUAUGGUGGUGGAAGCUUGGAUAGCAGUGGCUCCUCUAAUGGUGGCGGCAUCGGUAACGGAGGUGGAGUGGGAUUGCUUCCAGAGCCAGGAUUGGAGUCUCACCCUGUGCUGGAGAAGCUACGAGCGGCCCAUAGCUAUAACCCUAAGGAGUUUGACUGGAACCUGAAGAACGGUCGCGUGUUCAUCAUCAAGAGCUACUCCGAGGACGACAUCCACCGCUCCAUCAAGUAUUCAAUCUGGUGCAGCACAGAGCAUGGAAACAAGCGUUUGGACUCAGCCUUCAGAGUGAUGAACUCAAAAGGCCCUGUCUAUUUGUUGUUCAGUGUCAAUGGCAGCGGCCAUUUCUGCGGUGUGGCGGAGAUGCGCUCACCUGUGGACUAUGGCACCAGUGCUGGUGUUUGGGCGCAGGACAAGUGGAAGGGCAAGUUUGAUGUGAACUGGUUGUUUGUUAAGGACGUGCCUAAUAGCCAGCUGCGACACAUUCGCCUGGAAAACAAUGACAACAAGCCAGUGACCAACUCUCGUGACACUCAAGAGGUUCCUUUGGAGAAGGCGAAGCAGGUGCUCAAGAUUAUUGCCCAGUACAAACACACCACCUCCAUCUUUGAUGACUUCUCCCACUAUGAGAAGAAGCAGGAGGAGGAGGAGGUGGUGAAAAAGGUGUGCACUGUGCCCGAUGGCUGUGUCGGCGAGAUACGGGGCCUGACACGUGACGAUGAACAACAACAUCGGAUGUGACACAACAGACAACGGGCUAUGAGCCUGCCCCAAUACAGAACCGAUCCAGAAUCGAUCAGGAUCGUCAGAAGUAAACGUAAGAAGACGACUUCUGAAAGCUUCGAUCAGUGGUUGUACUCGGAUGGACAUACUAAAAUUUAAAGAUUUAAAAAGUUAACACACGGACAUAUAGAAAUUGAAAACUAAUAUGUUUUUCUAUUUAAUUAUUUUGACUUUGGCCCAUGUCAAAACAUUUGAGCCACAUUGCUCCUGGUUCCCAAACUUUAAGAUGAGUGCAGGGAUGAAGCUAGUUCCACCAGGUGAAUCGCUUUAAUAAUAUAUAUUAUUUUCCUGUUCUGUUUUGGUUUUUUUAGCCUUUUAAAUCUCUAUCGCUCCCCCCAGAACUUGCAUUCUUAAACUUAAUAUAAAUAUCUGCACGUCUGUUUUGAAAAUCUCUUGACAACAUGCUGCUGAUAUUCAGUGACUGUUCACUUUGUGGUGUGUGUGUUGGAGAAAUGUUAAAGUGCUUGUAUUGGUUAAUCUUAAUGAGUGAACAACACUUAAUUGACAAAUGUCUGCUAUCUGUUUGUGGCCAGUUGUAUUUUAUAUUAUUAGAAGGAAAGACACUUCUAUGACGGCCCUCUUAUGUUUUCAUGUCUGGGCUGUUCUACCUUGGUAGAGGAAUGUGACACUGAGAGUUUCUGUAUGCAUAGGCCUAAAUGUGCAAGGUUGUGACCGUAGAAAAGCAUAAGUGUUAGUAUUUUGAAGAGAAAAAAAAAAGACCAACUUGCUUCUAAUUGAUAUCAGUGUAACAUUAAGGUGCAGAAAAUUUAGAUUUUAUUUUUUCUCAGAUUGGAGCCUUAACAUUUCUUUUAAGCAGUAGAAUAAAUGACUUUGUUUCUCCUUAACACUGUACUUUAAAACUCGUCAGCUAGACAUUCAGGGAAAAGAUGUCCAGUUAACAAAAGCUCAAAAAGACAGUCCCCCCCCCCUUUUUUUUUUUAUCUAAAGGAAUGAAAUUCACAUAAUCUGUAUCGCUUACAGUUUGUUUUCCGUUUCCCUAAUCCAGUGACUUUGAUUUCCCCCUCUGUUCCCAUCUGCUCCAACAGAGCGUCUGUCCGUGAGAUUCUGAAGGAAAUGUAGCAUGUACUGCUUUUAAAACUCAAAGCCAGGCCUGUCCUUUUGGUUCUUUGCUUUUUUUUUGUUCUUUCUUAACAUCAUAUUGAUCUCAGCAUUUUCAUUGCUAUAACCUUUCCACGUCAUCCCCCACGAAAAUGUAAGCUUUAAUGUACCGGCAUUUCUAACUAAGAUCGCCUCAAAAUGUUAACUGUAGCAUUAUAUUUAACCGAUUUAUUGUCAAGUGUAUGAACACCCAGAGACUAGCCUAUUAUGGUAUACGUUUGUGACUUCUUCUUUCUUUUUUUUAAUUGCUUGCUGUAUUGUGUGUAUGUGUAUGUAUGCUGGAGUGAAAGAAACAAGGGAGUACGACUGUGGAGCAAUCAGAGUUAUAUUACGGUAUUGGAAUAUAGAAAAUUUAUUCAAGGAAAAAAAAAAGUUUUAAGUCACCCCUGAAUUAAAUAUCCAUUGUGUCAGAGGUCACUGUCACAUUCUUAGAUUUGAUCAUGUUCAUUAUUAAAGAUAUUAUUACCUGUU